GGGAAGUGGCGACGGGUGAGUACACGUGGGCAAUCUGCCCUUCACUCUGGGACAAGCCCUGGAAACGGGGUCUAAUACCGGAUAUGACACGGGAUCGCAUGAUCUCCGUGUGGAAAGCUCCGGCGGUGAAGGAUGAGCCCGCGGCCUAUCAGCUUGUUGGUGGGGUGAUGGCCUACCAAGGCGACGACGGGUAGCCGGCCUGAGAGGGCGACCGGCCACACUGGGACUGAGACACGGCCCAGACUCCUACGGGAGGCAGCAGUGGGGAAUAUUGCACAAUGGGCGAAAGCCUGAUGCAGCGACGCCGCGUGAGGGAUGACGGCCUUCGGGUUGUAAACCUCUUUCAGCAGGGAAGAAGCGAGAGUGACGGUACCUGCAGAAGAAGCGCCGGCUAACUACGUGCCAGCAGCC
rnacentral:rRNA from 1 species